ACGGAGGGAUCAAACGUUAAUCGGAAUUACUGGGCGUAAAGCGCGCGUAGGCGGUUCGUUAAGUGGUAUGUGAAAGCCUCGGGCUUAACCUGAGAAUUGCAUGCCAUACUGACAAACUAGAGUGUGAUAGAGGGAGGUAGAAUUUCCUGUGUAGCGGUGAAAUGCGUAGAUAUAGGAAGGAAUACCAGUGGCGAAGGCGGCCUCCUGGAUCAACACUGACGCUGAGGUGCGAAAGCGUGGGGAGCAAACAGG
rnacentral:rRNA from 1 species